rnacentral:lncRNA from 1 species
UGUUUGCUUCUCGCUGUUAUCCCUCUCACCCCCUCCCCCCAAAGUUUCUGUGGUUUUCCUGUCCUGUUCGUCCUUCCUCAGCAGUCUAUCUGCCUUUCCCUCCCCCUCUGCUUCUCUCCCUUCUUCCAGCUUUGUUUCUGGGGUAGCUGGGAGAAGGGUUUUGUUUGAUGGAUCUAUUUGUAAUGGGUGAGGUCCACCUUUCAGCAGUGCCACUCUCCGCUCCAUCAGUCAUCAUCAGAGAAAGGAGCACUCCCUGCAUUGCAGAGUCCUAUGCUGCUGGUUUGCCCACCAGACUGCAGGAGUAGGUGAAGUGGGAGUAACUGGAUGGAGAAGACGACCCUUGAUUGUCCUGAAACAAGCACAUGUGAAAACAUGGUUUCGGUCAGCUGUAGGAAUGUAGUAGAGACAAUACAUUGGGUUGCUGACAGUCUAAUCCGGAUGUCUUUUUUAAAACAAUAAGGUACCCUUGCAAGCAUAAAUUAG